AGUGAACGCUGGCGGUAGGCCUAACACAUGCAAGUCGAACGGCAGCACAGUAAGAGCUUGCUCUUACGGGUGGCGAGUGGCGGACGGGUGAGGAAUACAUCGGAAUCUACUUUUUCGUGGGGGAUAACGUAGGGAAACUUACGCUGAUACCGCAUACGACCUACGGGUGAAAGCAGGGGAUCUUCGGACCUUGCGCGAUUGAAUGAGCCGAUGUCGGAUUAGCUAGUUGGCGGGGUAAAGGCCCACCAAGGCGACGAUCCGUAGCUGGUCUGAGAGGAUGAUCAGCCACACUGGAACUGAGACACGGUCCAGACUCCUACGGGAGGCAGCAGUGGGGAAUAUUGGACAAUGGGCGCAAGCCUGAUCCAGCCAUACCGCGUGGGUGAAGAAGGCCUUCGGGUUGUAAAGCCCUUUUGUUGGGAAAGAAAAGUAGCAGGUUAAUACCCCGCUGUUCUGACGGUACCCAAAGAAUAAGCACCGGCUAACUUCGUG
rnacentral:rRNA from 1 species